GACGUAGGAGGCGAGCGUUGUCCGGAAUUACUGGGCGUAAAGAGCGCGUAGGCGGCGCCAUACGACAGGGGUCAAAGCCCCCGGCUCAACCGGGGAGAUGCUCCUGUAACGGUGUGCUCGGAGUCUGGGAGAGGGACGUGGAACUCCACGAGUAGCGGUGAAAUGCGUAGAGACGUGGAGGAACACCAGUGGCGAAGGCGGCGUCCUGGCCUAGAACUGACGCUGAGGCGCGAAAGCUAGGGGAGCAAACGGG
rnacentral:rRNA from 1 species